rnacentral:rRNA from 1 species
AACGAACGCUGGCGGCAGGCUUAACACAUGCAAGUCGAGCGCCCCGCAAGGGGAGCGGCAGACGGGUGAGUAACGCGUGGGAAUCUACCCAUCUCUACGGAACAACUCCGGGAAACUGGAGCUAAUACCGUAUACGCCCCUCGGGGGAAAGAUUUAUCGGAGAUGGAUGAGCCCGCGUUGGAUUAGCUAGUUGGUGGGGUAAUGGCCUACCAAGGCGACGAUCCAUAGCUGGUCUGAGAGGAUGAUCAGCCACAUUGGGACUGAGACACGGCCCAAACUCCUACGGGAGGCAGCAGUGGGGAAUAUUGGACAAUGGGCGAAAGCCUGAUCCAGCCAUGCCGCGUGAGUGAUGAAGGCCCUAGGGUUGUAAAGCUCUUUCACCGGUGAAGAUAAUGACGGUAACCGGAGAAGAAGCCCCGGCUAACUUCGUGCCAGCCGCCGCAGUAAGAC